rnacentral:rRNA from 1 species
ACGUAGCAAUACGUUUGUAAAGCGGCGAACGGGUGAGGAAUACAUGGGUAACCUACCCUCGAGUGGGGAAUAACUAGCCGAAAGGUUAGCUAAUACCGCGUACGCUUCUUGGACUUCGGUUCAGGGAGGAAAGCGAUACCGUGGGUAUCGCGCUCUUGGAUGGGCUCAUGUCCUAUCAGCUUGUUGGUGAGGUAACGGCUCACCAAGGCUUCGACGGGUAGCUGGUCUGAGAGGACGAUCAGCCACACUGGCACUGCGACACGGGCCAGACUCCUACGGGAGGCAGCAGUAAGGAAUAUUGCGCAAUGGGCGAAAGCCUGACGCAGCGACGCCGCGUGGGGGAUGAAGGUCUUCGGAUUGUAAACCCCUUUCGGGGGGGAAGAUGGAAUGGGGUAACCCAUUCGGACGGUACCUCCAGAAGCAGCCACGGCUAACUUCGUGCCAGCAGCCGCGGUAAUACGAAGGUGGCAAGCGUUAUUCGGAUUUACUGGGCGUACAGGGAGCGUAGGCGGUUCGGUAAGCCCUUUGUGAAAUCUUCAGGCUUAACCUGGAACAGUCGGAGGGGACUGCCGGGCUAGAGGACGGGAGAGGAGCGCGGAAUUCCCGGUGUAGCGGUGAAAUGCGUAGAGAUCGGGAGGAAGGCCGGUGGCGAAGGCGGCGCUCUGGAACGUUUCUGACGCUGAGGCUCGAAAGCGUGGGGAGCAAACAGGAUUAGAUACCCUGGUAGUCCACGCCUUAAACUAUGAAUACUAAGUGUCGGCGGGUUACCGCCGGUGCCGCAGCUAACGCA